UGGGAUACAGAGAAACCAUCCCUUUUUCUUCUUCUUUCCCGUGAUUCCCUCAAACACUCACUCUCACUCUCUCUCUCUCCCUUCGAACACUCUCUCUCUCUCUCUUCAUACGGACCAUCAUCAAAGUUCAUCAAAACUUCACAGAUCGAAGAAACAAAGAUCACCAUCGUCUUCGUCUCGUCGAUACGAGUUCAUCCAUACCUAUUUCAGGUAAGAACUUCAACGUUUUCACGUCCAACCACUCACCUCCGAGUUUGACACUAUUCAUCAACUUUGUAUUGGUUGAUUUUUAGGAGUUUUCAAGCUUGUAGGAAGCUUCUUGAGGUCCUUAGGAGGCUCGGCGUAGUUCGUUGGAGGUUUUUGGACGUAAGAAUAUCGAGAUCGAAAAGUUCAAGUUUGACCCGUGCCUUUCGAGUCGUUUUCCGGCCAAACCACGGAGAGUUAGACGUCGUGCGAGGUACCAUUCUCUUCGUCUCUUCGAGAAAUACAACUUUCGUUUUUGUUUCACCCAAUUUCGUUGAGUAUUAAAGAAGUUAUACUCAUUUGAAUCUUACCCAGUUUCCGGCGAGUCCGACGGCUUUCGAGGCUUUUUACGGUGAAUUAUCGGCGAUUUAAGGGUCGAGAAGGGUAUAGAUAUGUUUGUCUCGUCAAUAUCUUCAGUUUGAUAUAAAGUACGUUGAAAAUGGUGAAGAAAUGACAAAGUUAUGGCAAUUUGAAAAACUGCCCAGAAACCGGCGAAACCAGUCCGGCGAGCCGAGGAAGAAGACGCGCGUGGGCGCGCGUGGACCGCCACUUUGGGCGGCGCGUGGGGGCGCGUCCGGCAUCCGACCGGCGCGUGGUUUGUACGUACGCGUUAGUGUCGUCGAGUAGAUCGAUUUCAUAUAUUUAUACCCUAGGUUUGAGCAAAUUAUGAGCGUUUUAUUUAGGUUUCCGUUAUGUGCUUUAAUUAAUGUUAUUUAGUUAUUUCAUAUAUAGGGGAAACUUAUUCCGAGGAUUUUCGAGGCCAAGCUAGGCUCGGGGGCUACGAUUUAACGACGUACUUGUGAGUGGGUAGUUGUUUAUACCUAUAUAUAUUUAUAGUUUCCAUAAAUGCGUAUUUACUUCAUUUUUACGCCUAUAUUGCCUAGUAUCAUUAUUAUGAUAUAAAUUGUGAUAAAUGCUGCUAUAUGGUUGUGAUAUUACUGUCAUGGCAUCAUACAUACUUGUGUACAUGCUCAUCUUGCUGCACCUGGUGUUAGUACUCGCCCCAGGGCCAGGGCCAGUCCUUCACGUGUAUGUUCACAUCCGCACCGUUCGCUCACCUUGGAUCCAAGUUUAGGUGCCAGUCUUGUCGGGUAGAUUGCAUUAGGCGAUCUGACUUGUAUGUGAUGUGCUUUUGCACCAGUUUUCACGUGAUCGUAGUACUAGAGCAUAUUGAUUACACCCAGUCCUGUUCGUGUCAGAAACCAUCUGUCCAAACUUGUGUGUCAGCUUAGAUGGAUGAGCACUUAGUUGUAUUGAUUAUCACUUGAUUAUUAUUGUGGCAUAUGAUACAUCAUUGACUUGGCAUAAUUCUGGUUAUAUGGUUUAUAUAUAUUGGAUUUCAUACUUACGUAGUAUGUUUUGAGGAAAUUAUACUUGUUUUACGGCGAGGGGUUAGUAUAUUCAAAGAUAAAGGUUUUCUUAUAAGCAUUGUUUUACUGACCCACUCAAUUUUGUUUUGCGCCCCUCCAUGUAUAAGAUAACAGAGCUUUGGUGGCCACGAGGAAUCCAACGAUGUUCUGAUAGAAUUCAUAAAAGUAGGACUCACCCUCGGGUGUUUCAUCUUAGUAAUUGUAUUCUUUAAAGCUUUCGAAAUGUGUAAAUGGUUACGUCACUCUCACGUGACGGCCAACAUGCCCUCCUUCGGGAUGGGGUGUGCCACCAUGCCUCACGAUUUUAAGUCUUCAACAGCGCUAAUGAACAGGAUUAUUUCUUCGAAUUUCUAAAUGCACACUGACACACCCCGAUCCUAAAAUCAAGGCGUGAUGGCCAUCAAGUGAGCGUGACGUAGCCAAAAGUGCGACACGGAAGCAAGAGAUAAUAGAAAUAUGAAGGAAUUUAAACCAACCACUAGCAGUAAUAACCUACUAGCAUAAAAGAGUGAGUUCUAAAGUAAAACACACGAAUUCAGGGCGUAGGUAUCAAGUGCAGUCUAGUAGGACUAUAAUUAAAAGUACAACACCUGCAGGUGAGUCCUACAUGCAGAACGUCUAUCAGAACGCCGAAAAGACCUCGUGAGCAACCAACUGCUAACUAGAACCUGGAGGGGCCCAAAACAAAGAUGAGUGGGUCAGUAAAAUCAAAGAUUUUCCAAAACAUUUCCUUUAAAACAUUUCUAACCCCUCACCGUAAAACCUAUAUACUUUUCCAGAAAUUUAUUAUAAAACAUAUAUACAUAUAUCAUCAAACUCAGCUCACAAUCUUUCAAAGCUUUUCAGAAAGAAUAUGCCAUGCCAUGCCAUGCCAAAAUAUAAUAUGAAUGCAUUGAUAUAAAUCAGGUGAAAUAAUAAAUCAACCGGAGACUCUACAAUGGUCCUUUUAAUUAUAGUCCUACUAGACUGCACUUGAUACCUACGCUUUGAAUUCGUGUGUUUUACUUUAGAACUCACUCUUUUAUGCUAGUAGGUUAUUACUGCUAGUGGUUGGUUUAAAUUCCUUCAUAUUUCUAUCAUCUCUUGCUUCCGUGUCGCACUUUUGGCUACGUCACGCUCACGUGACGGCCAACACGCCUUGAUUCUAGGAUCGGGGUGUGUCAGUUUGGUAUCAGAGCCUAGGUUGCAGUCCUGUAUAAUUGUUAAUGCUCUAAUGAUCUUUUGAUGUUUUCUGUCAGAAUUAUGCCGCCUCGUAGGGAACGUAUGGAAUCCCGCCGUAGUUCUGAACCUAAUUUCCCUGAUAUCACUCAGUUAGGGGAAGCAAUGGCCUAGGCUUUUCAGAAUGCAAUUUGUCCUCCUCCCCCUCCUCAGAGGACACCUCUGGAGACUAUGUACAAUUUGAAAUUGGAUCGUUUUAUGGGUAAUGAGGGUCACGAAGGGGCAGAGAAAUGGCUAGACCAUAUUGAGAAGACGUUUCAGGUGAUGCAAAGUCAGGGGAACUUUCCUGCUGAUAGGUGGGUUGAGACCACUACCUGGUUUUUGGGUCGAGAGCCGGCAGGUUGGUGGAGGAAUCAAACUCAGUUUAUGUCCCCAGAAAUGGCAGCUGAUUGGGAAGUAUUUAAAGAGAAUUUCAAGAAAAGAUUUGUCCCUCCAAAGUACAUCGAUCGCAAGAAACAGGAGUUUACUCGUUUGAAGCAAAGGAAUAUGUCAGUGCACGAGUACUACAGAAAGUUUACUGAUUUGUCUCGUUAUGACCCUGAUACAGCUGGUAAUCAGGUAGAGAUGCUUCGACGUUUCAAGUUGGGAACUAAGAGAAAAUGGCGGACUUUUGCCAGUGCACUUCCCUGCGCUGAUUAUCAUGAGUUUUUCGAAAUUUUGGUUCGGAUGGAGGACUCCGACAAUCUUCCUAGUGACAGUGAGGAUGACGAGGACGAGAAUGAUGGUCAGAAGAAGGAUGAUAAAGGUAAGGGUAUCUCCAUUCCGGGACCUCGUAAGACGCAGAAUUUUAAGAAGAGUGAAGCGAGUUCGAGUUCUUCUAGUGGAGGAUAUAGUAUUACUGGCCCGAGGAGAGGUGGUGGAAGAUUUUCUGGUGGACCCAGAUUUCAGAAGCAGAGGGAUUCCGGUGGUGCUAGUGGUUCUGGUGCUCCGUGGUGCCGCCGUUGUAAUUUUCGUCAUCAUGGUGAGUGCAUGAAUGGUGGUGGUGCUUGUUAUAAUUGUGGACAAAUGGGACAUCGGGCUUCUCAGUGUCCCUAGGUCAACAGAGACCUCAGCAGACCACUAUGCCACCUCCAGCGCCGAUUCAGCAGAGCUUUGGACCAGGCAGUUAUGGCCAGUCGAGUCGUGGUGGUGCUUACCACUACCAGGGUGAUGCUGCUCCUUAUGCUUCCGGAUCGUAUCAGUAUCCCCAGGAUCCUUAUUCUCAGACUUGGUAUUCCCAAGACCUUGGGGGUUAUUCUUCUUAUUCUUCCAUGCCAGCUGGUGGAUCUCAGUGGCAUCAGGGAGGUCAACCCCGUUAGGGGGAAGUUGCUGCUAGUGGUGUAGGAUCAUCUAGGUAGUCUAGUCAGUCAGGCCAGGGACGUACUUCUCAGGGGCGAGGUAAUCAAGGCAACAGAGGUCGUGGUGGACGACAGCAAGCUCAGGGACGUGUUAAUCACAUCUCACUGCAAGAUGCUCAGAACCAUCCAGAUUUGAUCAUGGGUACGUUAAAUGUUCUUGGUCAUUUUGCUAGAGUUUUGAUUGAUUGUGGUGCUACGCAUUCUGUGAUUUCUCAUACGUUUGCUCAAAUGACUCAACCUCACCCUUCACCUCUAGGAUUUGAUUUAGAGUUUGCCAUGCCUAAAGGAGAUAAAUGUUAUGUUGAUAGUGUGUAUCUUGGGAGUCCAGUGAUGGUAGAGGGCAUAGUGGUCUGCUAAGGUCUCUGCUGACCCUGGGGACACUGAGAAGCCCGAUGUCCCAUUUGUCCACAAGUAUAACAAGCACUACCACCUCUCCUGCACUCACCAUGAUGACGAAAAUUACAACGGCGGCACCACGGAGCACCAAAACCACCAGCACCACCGGAAUCCCUCUGCCUCUGAAAUCUGGGUCCAUCAGAAAAUCCUCCACCACCUCUCCUCGAGCCAGUAAUACUAUAUCAUCCACUAGAAGAACUCGAACUCGCUCCAUUCUUCUUAAAAUUCUGCGUCUUACGAGGUCCCGGAAUGGAGAUACCCUUACCUUUAUCAUCCUUCUUCUGACCAUCAUUCUUGUCCUCGUCAUCCUCACUGUCACUAGGAAGAUUGUCGGAGUCCUCCAUCCGAACCAAAAUUUCGAAAAACUCAUGAUAAUCGGCGCAGGGAAGUGCACUGGCAAAAGUCCACCAUUUUCUCUUAGUUCCCAACUUGAAACGUCGAAGCAUCUCUACCUGAUUACCAGCUGUAUCAGGGUCAUAACGAGACAAAUCAGUAAACUUUCUGUAGUACUCGUGCGCUGACAUAUUCCUUUGCUUCAAACGAGUAAACUCCUGUUUCUUGCGAUCGAUGUACUCUGGAGGGACAAAUCUUUUCUUGACUCUUUAAAUACUUCCCAAUCAGCUACCAUUUCUGGGGACAUAAACUGAGUUUGAUUCCUCCACCAACCUGCCGGCUCUCGACCCAAAAACCAGGUAGUGGUCUCAACCCACCUAUCAGCAGGAAAGUUCCCCUGACUUUGCAUCACCUGAAACGUCUUCUCAAUAUGGUCUAGCCAUUUCUCUGCCCCUUUGUGACCCUCAUUACCCAUAAAACGAUCCAAUUUCAAAUUGUACAUAGUCUCCAGGGGUGUCAUCUGAGGAGGGGGAGGAGGACGAAUUGCAUUCUGAAAAGCCUGGGCCAUUGCUUCCCCUAACUGAGUGAUAUCAGGGAAAUUAGGUUCAGAAGUACGGCGGGAUUCCCUACGUUCCCUACAAGGCGACAUAAUUCUGACAGAAAACAUCAAAAGAUCAUUAGAGCAUUAACAAUUAUACAGGACUGCAACCUAGGCUCUGAUACCAAACUGACACACCCCGAUCCUAGAAUCAAAGCGUGUUGGCCGUCACGUGAGCGUGACGUAGCCAAAAGUGCGACACGGAAGCAAGAGAUAAUAGAAAUAUGAAGGAAUUUAAACCAACCACUAGCAGUAAUAACCUACUAGCAUAAAAGAGUGAGUUCUAAAGUAAAACACACGAAUUCAAAGCGUAGGUAUCAAGUGCAGUCUAGUAGGACUAUAAUUAAAAGUACAACACCCGCAGGUGAGUCCUACAUGCAGAACGCCGAAAAAGACCUUGUGAGCCACCAACUACUAACUAGAACCUGGAGGGGCGCAAAACAAAGAUGAGUGGGUCAGUAAAAUCAAAGAUUUUCCAAAACAUUUCCUUUAAAACAUUUCUAACCCCUCACCGUAAAACCUGUAUACUUUCCCAGAAAUUUAUUAUAAAACAUAUAUACAUAUAUCAUCAAACUCAGCUCACAAUCUUUCAACGCUUUUCAGAAAGAAUAUGCCAUGCCAUGCCAUGCCAAAAUAUAAUAUGAAUGCAUCGAUAUAAAUCAGGUGAAAUAAUAAAUCAACCGGAGACCCUACAAUGGUCAUGACGGCUGAUUUUAUAGCUCAAUAUCCCACUCAGCCGGAGUCACCACAGUGACCUAUACGGCCAUACUCUGCACGUCACUCGGAACUACGUAAGGUAGUCUGUACGAUGAAAGGUGUAAGAAUACGCUCUAGUGCUUCUCUCAUCAAUCAUGGCGCGCAUAACUAAGGUCACCCACUAGUCGGAAUCACAUCUAGUGAUCUAUACGACUAGCAUGUCGAAACCCUCACAUGGUCUGUACGACAGUCACCUACUUGGAUCCAAGGCGAGCCUGCGGUGUGGUGAAUAAUAUAAGCACUAACACCUAGGGUGCAGGUUAUGAGCUUUCAAUGCAAUUCACAUAAAUAAAUCGUAUGAAUAAUGUAAAAACUCACUUGUGCGUCCACAACGUCAAUUCAUAUAUAUAUGCAUCAAUUAUCAAUUCAAAUAUCUCAUCAAUUGCAUGCAUGGCAUUUUAAAACAUAUUUUCAUAUAAAUGCAUUUUCUGGGAAAAACAGUAGUAUAUAGGUAAUACGAAAACAAAGCUGCCCACUCACUGGUAAGUCGAUGGGUCGUAACCCCCGUGACGUCCCUGGAUGCGCUCGUCCUCGGGAUAGGUGUCACCUAUAUGCGAAACAAUUAUAAAAACGUUAAUUAAAACACAUAACCAAUAAUUCGAAAUAACUUUUCAUACGGUGCUCAAUUUGGGUAUGUGAAUAUACCACAACGACCUACUCGACGUCACGAACGACGAGGAAUUUUUAGAAAAUUUUUUGGAAGCCCCACGCGCCGUCAUGCGCCGGCCAAGGCACGGCCAGACGCGCGGUUACGCGCAGGCCACGUGUCGCGCGUGUUGUCUCCUACCCUGGGCUCGUCGGACUGGUUUUUCCGGUGGCCAGAUUCCGACGAAUUUUGUAAUUGCUUGUUCUCCUUCGUUUCUCAACCGUUUUCUUCGAAUUUUAUAUCAAUUUGAAGCCCUCAACAUGUAGAAUCACGAUAGACUAGUUUCAAGGUCUAAAAUUCACUAGAUUUUACCUGGGGAAGCACGAUAAUUCGAAAAUUUUGAGAAACUCCGUUCUCGGUCCUCCGACGUCCAAAUGUUACCAACGAAGUACCCCGAAGCUCGUGAGGAUGUCCUUAAGCUCACUGUGAGCUUGAAAUUCCCUGAAAUGUAAGAUUUCACGUGUGCAUGAACAGUGCACAUUUUCGGGGUUAGGGUUCCACGACGAUUCCGAGGGUUUCACUUCCUAAAACUAGUACCAUUCAACUCAGAAUAUCAAAAGGAUGAAGAAUCAUACCUUAUUUGCUUCGAUCCGCAAAGUUUUGAAGGGUUUUGGUCUUGUCCGUACUAUUUCGAGAGGGAGAGAGUGAGAGAGAGUCGUGAGGGAAGAGAGAGAGAAAGCACGGGGGAAGGGAGAGAGAGCAGGGAGUGCGUGUGUGUGUUUGUGUGGUCCAACGCAAAUCCACAUCAUCAAUUUCUCAUCCUAGCUCCCUAACCACACACAAAAAAUAUCCCACAUAAGCAAAGUCCAAGGUUAAGAAUUUAAGUCUAAAUAAUGCCACACACACAUACCUUAAUACCCGUCAAGGGUAAUUCCGUCAUUUCACGUCCCCGAUAUAAAAAUCCCGGGACAGGCUGUGACACACACGCUCUGACCUGUCAAUAAACAGCACAUCAUAACAAUUUGUUGCAGUAAAUGAAACCCAAAUAUACAAUUGCAAUUCCAGUUCAUUCAAGUCGAUCCUAUUCUAGUUUAAUGGUAAGUCAGUACGGAACCGAGAUUUAGAUUACAACCUCACCAAAAUACAAACCUACACUUAAGCAGAAUAAAAUACAAGAAAUAAAGACACCGAGAAAUUUACGAGAUUCGACAAAAUUAUGCUUACGACCUUAGAGAGAUACUGCUCUUCACUAUUAGGAUAACGAGUACAAGAUACACUUGAGUUAAAUCGACUUAACCCAUUAGGUUCACAAAUGAUUAGUUAUGUAAAAUCGCCUUGGUUAAGAAAAAGAAUAAUGCUUAGACCAACUUUUAAGAUUAAAUUUACAAAUCAUGUGACAUGUCACCAAAUUCCCAUUUAUUCUUUCACGACCGCUUAGGGUUAUAGAGUUUGGCACCAAUUUUGCUUGGAUCAAAUUGUAUACGAGCCUACUGAUGGAUCCACAUAGGAGCCAAUAUAUGCAAUUGCCCCCCUCACCACUUUUCCUACACAUGAAAUUGACAAAAAUUCAUUUGUUAUUCUUCUUGAACCCAAAUACCAUUCAAGCAUGAUGCCUGACAAAAUAUCUCAAAUGACUCAAAGAGGCUGAAGCAUGGUUGGUAGCAAGGGGCAACUUGCCAAAGUGGUGUGCGGGUUUCAUCUCGGCCUCGGAAGAAAGAGAAUCUUCCAUUCCCCACUAAUUUGUAAUUAUUGUGUUCCUUUAACUUCUACCAAAUUCUUUCUAUGCUCGUCUCUUUUAAUUCUUGUUUCUGGUUCUGGCCUGCUGGCCAUUGCCUUGCUUUGGUCUUGUAUGUUAAUGUUUGUCUCUCUUAACAAAUUUGGUCUUUCAUAAAGAUACCAGAAAGAAACCAAUUGGACUUGAUGGUCGUGAAUUUUUGGAUUGGCCAUGUUACAAACUAUUGACAAUAUCAUGUUAUAAACUAUUCUUGCUUAUUAGAGAGGCCGACUCGAACUCAACUGCAAACAGUAAACAAUGAAUAUAUUCUUCUGACUAAGCGCUCGUUUGAAAGUGUUUUUAAAAUAACUUGAAACACUCUUGGUGAAAUUGUUUUUGGCCUCCAAAAGCAUUAUGUAGGAAGCACAUGUGUUUUUCUAAGAUUCACUUGCAUUUUUAGUAAGGAUUAGUUCCAUAAAAAAACUUUCAUCAAAAUGAUUUCGGUUAUUUUAAAAGUACACUUUCCAAACGAGUCCUAACUGGCAUAAAAUUAACCUGAUGUUUAACCAUAUGAAAAUCAUGUAUCUUAAACAAUUAUAUGCAUAAAACAUCAAAAGUAGGCCUACAAAGCGCAACAGACACACUCCGUCCUUCCUAUAUCUUGCACUUUCUUUCUUAUUCAAAGCCAACACUACAAACAAAAGGAAAACUGCAG
rnacentral:lncRNA from 1 species